AUUGAACGCUGGCGGCAGGCCUAACACAUGCAAGUCGAGCGGAUGAAGGGAGCUUGCUCCUGGAUUCAGCGGCGGACGGGUGAGUAAUGCCUAGGAAUCUGCCUGGUAGUGGGGGAUAACGUCCGGAAACGGGCGCUAAUACCGCAUACGUCCUGAGGGAGAAAGUGGGGGAUCUUCGGACCUCACGCUAUCAGAUGAGCCUAGGUCGGAUUAGCUAGUUGGUGGGGUAAAGGCCUACCAAGGCGACGAUCCGUAACUGGUCUGAGAGGAUGAUCAGUCACACUGGAACUGAGACACGGUCCAGACUCCUACGGGAGGCAGCAGUGGGGAAUAUUGGACAAUGGGCGAAAGCCUGAUCCAGCCAUGCCGCAUGUGUGAAGAAGGUCUUCGGAUUGUAAAGCACUUUAAGUUGGGAGGAAGGGCAGUAAGUUAAUACCUUGCUGUUCUGACGUUACCAACAGAAUAAGCACCGGCUAACUUCGUG
rnacentral:rRNA from 1 species